GCUGGGCGCAGUGGCAGGCGCCUGUAAUCCCAGCUACUCGGGAGGCUGAGGCAGGAGAAUCGCUUGAACCCGGGAGGCAGAGUUUGCAGUGAGCCGAGAUGGCACCACUGCACUCUAGCCUGGGUGACAGAGCGAGACUCCGCCUCAA
rnacentral:SRP_RNA from 2 species